rnacentral:rRNA from 1 species
UCGAGCGGACAGAUGGGGAGCUUGCUCCCUGAUGUUAGCGGCGGACGGGUGAGUAACACGUGGGUAACCUGCCUGUAAGACUGGGAUAACUCCGGGAAACCGGGGCUAAUACCGGAUGGUUGUCUGAACCGCAUGGUUCAGACAUAAAAGGUGGCUUCGGCUACCACUUACAGAUGGACCCGCGGCGCAUUAGCUAGUUGGUGAGGUAACGGCUCACCAAGGCGACGAUGCGUAGCCGACCUGAGAGGGUGAUCGGCCACACUGGGACUGAGACACGGCCCAGACUCCUACGGGAGGCAGCAGUAGGGAAUCUUCCGCAAUGGACGAAAGUCUGACGGAGCAACGCCGCGUGAGUGAUGAAGGUUUUCGGAUCGUAAAGCUCUGUUGUUAGGGAAGAACAAGUGCCGUUCAAAUAGGGCGGCACCUUGACGGUACCUAACCAGAAAGCCACGGCUAACUACGUGCCAGCAGCCGCGGUAAUACGUAGGUGGCAAGCGUUGUCCGGAAUUAUUGGGCGUAAAGGGCUCGCAGGCGGUUUCUUAAGUCUGAUGUGAAAGCCCCCGGCUCAACCGGGGAGGGUCAUUGGAAACUGGGGAACUUGAGUGCAGAAGAGGAGAGUGGAAUUCCACGUGUAGCGGUGAAAUGCGUAGAGAUGUGGAGGAACACCAGUGGCGAAGGCGACUCUCUGGUCUGUAACUGACGCUGAGGAGCGAAAGCGUGGGGAGCGAACAGGAUUAAAUACCCUGGUAGUCCACGCCGUAAACGAUGAGUGCUAAGUGUUAGGGGGUUUCCGCCCCUUAGUGCUGCAGC